UGAAAAUAUAAUUCAAUACAACUUAAAGUACUAAAAAAAUGCACGAUACAACCUUACUCUGUAAAUGUGAACAGUAAACUUAGACAACUGCAUUAUACGGGUCUCAUAUUUUGAAAAGUUAAAAGUUACCUUUCCAUUGCAAUCAGAGUUGUAUAUUUUGAAGAUAAUUGAGACAACUUUACUAAAUUAAUAAAUUGAUGAAGUAUCUGUUGAGCUUUGAUACCGAAGUAUUGAAUUUUAAACACCAAGAAAAUAGAAUUUUAUUGAUGAAAUGAAUUUUACACAAUUUGAACACAAACUCACACUUAUUUUAUUCGUAGGAUACCAUUCUCAUAUUUAAUUCUCACUAUCCUAAUUCACUCUAAUUGUAUAAUGGCAGAUUCUCUGCACUUACUCUCCUAGUCUCUCUCUGCUAACAUUACUUCCACAGCUUCUUUCUAUGAUCCACUCUCUAUCUCUCCUCACUAUUCUUCCUGCUCUCUUCACAAUCCCACUGUCCCACACGCUUUCACACACACACAAAAAUACAAGCAGUAAGGAUAUAUAUAGAUGUUAAAGGUCGGUGGUCGAUUCUUCUACCUAAUUCUAGUAUGUUGGUGAAGGCGGCUGCAUUCUGGAGUAAUCCUUUGAUGGCGGUGGACUUUGUUUCCAACAAUUAUUUACAGUUAAACACUCCGAUUGGCGUCGAUGGAGGUGGAGGUGGAGGUGGAGGUGGAGGCGACAACAACAAUCGGGUAGAAGAAGUGGAGGAUGAAGAAGGAAGGUAAUCUUCUUACAGUAUGUAUAGAUUGAUGUCUUCUUCUUAUGCUUUUUUUCUGUAUACUCUUUUGCCUCACUUUGAUGAAUCACUUGGAUUGUCUUCCCUAAUGGUCACUUGCCUAACAGUACUAUUUAGCCCCAUUGAUUUUGGAAAGAUCCGUACAUGAUUUGUAUAUAGAAAUGAAAAUGUAUUAAGAAUUGGCUAAAACAUAAAGUUUUAUUCAAAGAAGAAUGUCUAACAGUAUAAAAAACUCUUAAACUUAUUUAAUUACAUGAAAGUUCCAAAAUAGAUCUACUGUCUUUGAGGGAUUAGCCUCGCAGUCUAUACAUCAAGGAUUCUAG
rnacentral:lncRNA from 1 species